UUUGUUAAUCCAGCAUUGGUCUCAAAAGCUGGAAUGGGAGAGGGAAGCAAGGAAAACAGUGCCCAAGACAACCAGGUAGUGUGGAAUGUGGGUAUUACGUGAUGAGAUAUAUGAAGGAAAUCAUUGCUAAUCCAAACCAACUAACAUCAAAGGUUUGCACUCAAUUCAAUUCAUAUGGUUGGUCAUUUUACUAUAGUAUUUUUUUUUUUUGGUCAAUUGAACUUAGUGAAUUGUAUAUGUCACUCCAAUUCAGUUUUGCAGGAAGAAAUCAUAUAGUGAAAUGGAAAUUAAUGAAGUUCGAUCAGAUUGGGUUAUGUUAGUGACUCAGUUAAUCAUUACUCAUGUUUGAAGUUGGCAGUGUUUUCAAUAUGGAUCAUUUUGGGGGUUGCUCUAUUAUGAUUGAUGUAUAGUUGGCAUAUUGAGAG